AUAGUCUUGAGUGGAGUGGGUUCAAUACUCAUGUAUAGCAUUUUUUUGGCAUUUUAUUUCUUUUAGCUAUUUUAUUUUCUUUUAGCAUUUUCAUUUCUUUUUAUGUUUAUGCCUUUAUUAUACUCAUAGUUUCAUUUGUUAAUAAUGCAAAUUUGUUUUCUCUUAAUUUCACCAUUCAUUCAAAACCAUUUUUAAACUUAUAAAAAUCAUAUUUUUCUCGAUUUAAUAUCGAGCCCAUUUUCACACCCUUGUAAGUCGAUUGCUUUUUAAGCAUCGCCAUCAACCUCACAUAGCUUACUCUUGGGCUUUCUUACAAUGAGCCGGUUCCUUUGCACUUACACUCA
rnacentral:lncRNA from 1 species